rnacentral:lncRNA from 1 species
AUCAUCAUCAUCAUCGUCGUCAUCAUCAUCAUCAUCAUCAUCAUCAUCAUCAUCAUCAUCAUCAUCAUCAUCAUCAUCAUCAUCAUCAUCAUCAUCAUCAUCAUCAUCAUCAUCAUCAUCAUCAUCAUCAUCAUCGUCAUCAUCAUCAUCGAUCAUCAUCAUCAUCAUCAUCAUCAUCAUCAUCAUCAUCAUCAUCAUCAUCAUCAUCAUCAUCAUCAUCAUCAUCAUCAUCAUCAUCAUCAUCAUCAUCAUCAUCAUCAUCAUCAUCAUCAUCAUCAUCAUCAUCAUCAUCAUCAUCAUCAUCAUCACCAUCGUCAUCAUCAUCAUCAUCAUCAUCAUCAUCAUCAUCAUCAUCAUUAUCAUCAUCACCAUCGUCAUCAUCAUCAUCAUCAUCGUCAUCAUCAUCGUCAUCAUCAUCGUCAUCGUCAUCGUCAUCAUCGUCAUC